rnacentral:rRNA from 1 species
UGGGGAAUAUUGCACAAUGGGCGAAAGCCUGAUGCAGCGACGCCGCGUGAGGGAUGACGGCCUUCGGGUUGUAAACCUCUUUCAGCAGGGACGAAGCGAGAGUGACGGUACCUGCAGAAGAAGCGCCGGCCAACUACGUGCCAGCAGCCGCGGUAAUACGUAGGGCGCAAGCGUUGUCCGGAAUUAUUGGGCGUAAAGAGCUCGUAGGCGGUUUAUCACGUCGGCUGUGAAAUCCCGAGGCUUAACCUCGGGCCUGCAGUCGAUACGGGUUGACUAGAGUGAUGCAGGGGAGACUGGAAUUCCUGGUGUAGCGGUGAAAUGCGCAGAUAUCAGGAGGAACACCGAUGGCGAAGGCAGGUCUCUGGGCAUUAACUGACGCUGAGGAGCGAAAGCGUGGGUAGCAAACAGG